rnacentral:rRNA from 1 species
AACGAACGCUGGCGGCAUGCCUAACACAUGCAAGUCGAACGGGAUCCGGACUUCGGUUCAGUGAGAGUGGCGGACGGGUGAGUAACGCGUGGGAACCUGCCCAGUGGUGGGGGAUAACUGCGGGAAACUGCAGCUAAUACCGCAUGAGCCCGAGAGGGGAAAGAUUUAUCGCCAUUGGAGGGGCCCGCGUUCGAUUAGGUAGUUGGUGAGGUAAUGGCUCACCAAGCCGACGACCGAUAGCUGGUCUGAGAGGAUGAUCAGCCACACUGGGACUGAGAUACGGCCCAGACUCCUACGGGAGGCAGCAGUGGGGAAUAUUGGACAAUGGGGGCAACCCUGAUCCAGCAAUGCCGCGUGGGUGAUGAAGGCCUUCGGGUUGUAAAGCUCUUUUGCCAGGGACGAUGAUGACGGUACCUGGAGAAUAAGCCCCGGCUAACUUCGUGCCAGCCGCCGCGGUAACAC